rnacentral:lncRNA from 1 species
UUAACACUGACUCACGGAUCAAAGGACACCCCAGCAAGGAUUCUUGACCAUGGAGAGCUUCAAAGUGUGGAACUCAAGAAGUCAUAGGCAAACCUUUGUAUAUUUGCAUUUUCUUGGAAACAGAAUCCUCAGAGAUGGCUCACCCUCUGGACAGAUGAUGGUAGGUGGUUGUCUCCCAUCAGCAAGAGUUUAUGGAAGAGAUCUUGUCUGCAAGAGGAGGAGGAGAAAAAAGGCAGAGGAAUCCCUCACUUCAAAUGAGGUUAUGGAGAUGCGUAAAAUGUGGGCAACAGUGCAAAAUUUUGUGGAAAAACACCACCCGAAUAAAGCUGUAGCAGUGCGAGCAAUGAAUCUGUCUAACCACAAUACAAUGUCUCAUUUCUGCGAAAUCCUCAAAAGGAGGCAAAAGCAAGUGUCACUGGAUAGGUUCUUUGUUAGAUUUGCAUGAAAAGAAAAAGACCCCAUUGAGCCAACAGAUAGCAGUGAUUCCAUAUUGACAGUGAAAGUCCUCUUAAUGACCCUCCUCUCUCUUGUCUCUCUCACACCGGCCAUGAAGUUUGCAAAAGUGCAG